rnacentral:rRNA from 1 species
AUUGAACGCUGGCGGCGUGCUUAACACAUGCAAGUCGAACGGUAAGGCCCUUCGGGGUACGCGAGUGGCGAACGGGUGAGUAACACGUGGGUGAUCUGCCCUGCACUUCGGGAUAAGCCUGGGAAACUGGGUCUAAUACCGGAUAGGACCACUGCCUGCAUGGGUGGUGGUGGAAAGCUUUUGCGGUGUGGGAUGGGCCCGCGGCCUAUCAGCUUGUUGGUGGGGUGAUGGCCUACCAAGGCGACGACGGGUAGCCGGCCUGAGAGGGUGACCGGCCACACUGGGACUGGGAUACGGCCCAGACUCCUACGGGAGGCAGCAGUGGGGAAUAUUGCACAAUGGGCGCAAGCCUGAUGCAGCGACGCCGCGUGAGGGAUGACGGCCUUCGGGUUGUAAACCUCUUUCAGCACCGACGAAGCGCAAGUGACGGUAGGUGCAGAAGAAGGACCGGCCAACUACGUGCCAGCCGCCGCUGUAA